rnacentral:rRNA from 1 species
GGCGACCGGCGCACGGGUGAGUAACACGCUAUCCNACCUGCCGAUAACUCGGGGAUAGCCUUUCGAAAGAAAGAUUAAUAUCCGAUAGUAUAUUAAAACCGCAUGGUUUUACUAUUAAAGAAUUUCGGUUAUCGAUGGGGAUGCGUUCCAUUAGUUUGUUGGCGGGGUAACGGCCCACCAAGACUACGAUGGAUAGGGGUUCUGAGAGGAAGGUCCCCCACAUUGGAACUGAGACACGGUCCAAACUCCUACGGGAGGCAGCAGUGAGGAAUAUUGGUCAAUGGACGAGAGUCUGAACCAGCCAAGUAGCGUGAAGGAUGACUGCCCUAUGGGUUGUAAACUUCUUUUAUAUGGGAAUAAAGUAUUCCACGUGUGGGAAUUUUGUAUGUACCAUAUGAAUAAGGAUCGGCUAACUCCGUGCCAGCAGCCGCGGUAAUACGGAGGAUCCGAGCGUUAUCCNGGAUUUAUUGGGUUAAAAGGGAGCGUAGGUGGAUUGUUAAGUCAGUUGUGAAAGUUUGCGGCUCAACCGUAAAAUUGCAGUUGAAACUGGCAGUCUUGAGUACAGUAGAGGUGGGCGGAAUUCGUGGUGUAGCGGUGAAAUGCUUAGAUAUCACGAAGAACUCCGAUUGCGAAGGCAGCUCACUAGACUGCAACUGACACUGAUGCUCGAAAGUGUGGGUAUCAAACAGGAUUAGAUACCCUGGUAGUCCACACAGUAAACGAUGAAUACUCGCUGUUUGCGAUAUACAGUAAGCGGCCAAGCGAAAGCAUUAAGUAUUCCACCUGGGGAGUACGCCGGCAACGGUGAAACUCAAAGGAAUUGACGGGGGCCCGCACAAGCGGAGGAACAUGUGGUUUAAUUCGAUGAUACGCGAGGNAACCUUACCCGGGCUUAAAUUGCAUUUGAAUAAUCUGGAAAACAGGUUAGCCGCAAGGCAAAUGUGAAGGUGCUGCAUGGUUGUCGUCAGCUCGUGCCGUGAGGUGUCGGCUUAAGUGCCAUAACGAGCGCAACCCUUAUCUUUAGUUACUAACAGGUCAUGCUGAGGACUCUAGAGAGACUGCCGUCGUAAGAUGUGAGGAAGGUGGGGAUGACGUCAAAUCAGCACGGCCCUUACGUCCGGGGCUACACACGUGUUACAAUGGGGGGUACAGAAGGCAGCUACCUGGCGACAGGAUGCUAAUCCCAAAAACCUCUCUCAGUUCGGAUCGAAGUCUGCAACCCGACUUCGUGAAGCUGGAUUCGCUAGUAAUCGCGCAUCAGCCAUGGCGCGGUGAAUACGUUCCCGGGCCUUGUACACACCGCCCGUCAAGCCAUGAAAGCCGGGGGUACCUGAAGUACGAACCGCAAGGAG